UGAGGUAUGGACUAAAAGCGGCAGCUGCUCAAGCGCCAUUUGUAAGCUCAAAGUCUACCUCGGUCUGCUUCACGUCAGUCCGGUUCUAUCUAUCCAUUCAUAAUGUAACCAGUCACUGAAAAGCCCUGAUAUAGGGAGUGUGCUGUGAAAUAUCUGUAAUCUGUAAUCUGUAAAAUCAAGUGUACUAUCAACUUCCUUCUCAUGCUAUGCAAAUAAUUUCCC